rnacentral:tRNA from 1 species
GACCUCGUAGCUCAGCAGGAUAGAGCGGCGGUUUCCUAAACCGUAGGCCGGUGGUUCGAGUCCCCCCGAGGUCACCA